ACAGUGAAGCGCCGUAGCAGACCAUCAGGCCCCAAGCUGACAGUGUUGAGUGCCAGGGAAGGACAAGUGGAGUGUCAGCUGGAGACCAACAAGAUGAAGACAGUCUUUCAGUUCAAUUUGGGUGACACAGUGCCUGCCGAUGUAGCAAACAAUUUGGUGCGUGAGAAACUCCUCCCAAGUGCCCAUGCUGAACUGAUCACAGAACUACUUAAG